UGGAGAGCUGAUAGUGCACAAUAUUUGAGAUGGCUGCUUCGAAGGUCCUUGUAUUCCUGCUCAUUGUUGCUAGUGUCAUGAUGAUAACCCAAGGUACGAAACCAGGUGGGUCAUCAUCCGGAGGAGGCCAUAGUGCCGCCGGGUCCACUGGGGCUUCUGGUUCCACCGGCGGCGCAGGUGGCGCCACUCCCGCUGGCGCUUCUGGUUCCACCGGCGGCGCAGGUGGCGCCACUCCCGCUGGCGCUCCUGCUGGUGCCGCCGCAGGCGCUGGUGGUGCCGCCGCAGGCGCUGGUGAUGCAGCCGCUUCCAAGUAGAAGCCUAAAGGUGCCACCGGUUGACGGAUACACUUGGAGGAACCGAAAAACCUCAAGAUCGCAACUUGUGGCGUUUGUGCUAACGUAAAGACAAAAACCAGUCACUAGAAAAAGACAUCUCAGUAUGGUCUCAUUAUUGCUUUCACAUAAUAUUGAAGUCAAGCACCAGCAAAACAAAGGAAAAGCAAAAUACAUAUCACAUCGGAUCACAACAUUCUCCUGAUAUGAGGUAUAAAAAUUCUAAAUAGAAAGCAGUGAUGUCAAUGAAUAAAUGUUAGUUAUUCUAAAAAA